GAACGCUGGCGGCGUGCUUAACACAUGCAAGUCGAGCGGUAAGGCCCUUUCGGGGGUACACGAGCGGCGAACGGGUGAGUAACACGUGGGUGACCUGCCCUCAGCUCUGGGAUAAGCCUGGGAAACCGGGUCUAAUACCGGAUAUGACUCCAUGACGCAUGUUGUGGGGUGGAAAGCCUUGUGCGGCUGAGGAUGGGCCCGCGGCCUAUCAGCUUGUUGGUGGGGUGAUGGCCACCAAGGCGACGACGGGUAGCCGGCCUGAGAGGGCGACCGGCCACACUGGGACUGAGACACGGCCCAGACUCCUACGGGAGGCAGCAGUGGGGAAUCUUGCGCAAUGGGCGAAAGCCUGACGCAGCGACGCCGCGUGAGGGAUGACGGCCU
rnacentral:rRNA from 1 species